rnacentral:pre_miRNA from 1 species
UAAAUACUCCCUCCAUCCCAAAAUUAUUGUGCGGAUAUAUCAAGUCAUGUUUUAGUAUUAGAUACAUUCGUAUCUAGACGAAUCUAAGACAAGAAUUUUGGGACGGAGGGAGUAUAAG